UGGGAUGAUAAUUCAUCGAUUAUUCUCGGACUCGUCCGAGUUAGUCCGUGCGUUCACAUUAUUAAUUCAUGAACACAACAAACGCGCGAUCGCAAUCGUUACGUUAUUGAUGAUGUCCUACGAUCCAUACCGUUCGCGUUGUCUACCUUCCGGCUAUUUUCGACUACACAUGUCACAUCGUGUAGCCGUAUGCCAAGUGCUAAUCGCAACUCUCUUCCAACGACGGACACAAACAUUCGUUACUCGACGUAAGGUUACCCUAACCUACUCACGGCACGAUGUGGUGAACUAUCGCGCGGCCAACGUUUGAAGCCUGUUGGACGAGACGAGGAUAAUUAAUUAAAAGAUAAAACCACUUGGUCCCGGGUAUGCGGACCGACAAAAACACAUGUGGUGUGCCGUUGUAGUAACACAUAUGUUCGAGGGUUAUGUCCGUUUGCCAUAUUAUAUAGUAUGGAUCGCAAUCAAUAAUUAUGAUUUCGUUAAGACGUUUUGAAAAUUAUUUAAAAUAUCGAUGUGUGUGUGUAUCUAGGCUUAUACGUACUUAUACAUUGUAAGAGCAUUUGUAACUUAAUUUUAUGAUUUUUAAUUAUAAACCGAACACCUUGUGGGUUUAAUUGAA